UUCAGGUGGAAAAUAAUUGUAUUUGUCUUGAAUAUAAGUAACAAACAUUAACAAAACCACAUUAUUCACCAUACUAUAGACUGUAUCCACCAGCUUGGCUGACCAGCAUGCAAGCUGAUUUUAAGCACAAAAAUCCAUUACAGAUAACAACCACACAUAGAGUGCUGUAUAUCCACAAUGAACAGUUUUUCAUUCACCACCUCUGUAAACAGUUGAAUGUUGCAUCAACAAUUGAUUUUUUUCUCACAAGGCGUAUAUACAGAAGCUGAUCUGGUGUAAAGUAGUGCACCACAUAGAAAAAUAGAGGCGCCAUUUUGGAUUGGCCCUUGAGUGCUCCAGAUUGCAUUACCAGCUUAAAACAAGUCACGACGAUGUGACAGUGUGACAGGGUGCCUGACAGGUGCCCAUUCUGAUUUUUAUUGAGGACCCCAAUUCAUUCAGAUCAAGCGUUAACCGGUGAUAUCUCACACCUGUUUUGGAUGUUUUGGCGGUGAUGUAGGGGGAACAGCGUUAGCGCUGUCAAAUCAACAAGCGGCACCUGGCACAUACCUAAAGCGGACAUUGCCAUCGGCCGCAUGGAGUCGCAUUAAAAGAAAUCCCAUGCAGCCUUGUUUACAAGUUGGAAUACUGGAAUGUAAGAUGUAAUCUACACCUCGAUUAGGCUGCUAGAAAUCCUCAUUCGUUUGUUUAAUGAUUUUCAGCUUGAGCGUCAUUAUUUCUAUAUAGUCUAUACUUUCUCAUUCUGAACGUCUAACGGAAGUGUGACGGCUGUGGCUUCCUGACAAUGAUCAAGAGCAGCUGCGAUUUGACAUCUCCAAUGCUGUUCCACCUCAAACAGCGCCAAAACAUCAGCUAUGCAGGUGUCAGCUAUCGUCAGUUAACGCUUGAUCUGAUUGAAUCUAGGCCUUAGUGAUUUUCAUCAUAACAUUGUCACCUCAAUUCAUCUUUACUGUUCAAGAUUUACAUGCAAACAUUUUAAUAAUUAUAGAUGAGCCAAAUUGUAUAAUACACACGUGAGCAUGCACACACCCCUCUCUCUCUCUCUCUCUCUCUCUCUCUCUCUCUCUCUCUCUCUGUGUCUCUCUCUCUCUCUCUCUCU
ensembl:lncRNA